rnacentral:rRNA from 1 species
ACCAUCCUUCUUGUUCCCAAGCUUCAGUUUUGCGAUUCACUCGCUCCCAGUUCCCGCUGUCCCGGUGUAGUAAUUCUUUGCCCUUGUGAAUAGAACUGCUAUUAUCAAGGGUGGGAAAACAGAGCAGCUAUUUAGAGAAUGGAGUGCAGCGGCGACGAGGUGGUGGAGCUGAACUGUGCCCGCGCCGGCGGAGAUCCCGGGGAGUACGCCGCGGUGCUGAAGAGGAAGCUGCAACUGUACUGCGCCGCCGUGGCCAAGACUAUGGAAGCUAAACCUCAAGAAUCUUCUUUGAACUGCCUCAAUUCACAAGCUUCGGACACUUCGCCAUUGGUUUCUCAAGCUUCUUUUGAUGGUGACGGUACUGUUGUUCAAGGAAAGCCAGCUAAUAGUUGUACAUCAAAGGAGCAGUCAGAUGAUGAUGAUGGGGAUCUCGAGGAAAAUACAGACCCUGCCAGUGCCAAGCGCGUGAAGAGGAUGCUGUCAAAUCGAGAAUCUGCCAGGAGGUCAAGGAAAAGGAAGCAAGCCCACCAAAAUGAUAUAGAAUCACAGGUUACCCAGUUAAGAGCUGAUAAUGCAUCUUUGCUAAAGCGCCUGACUGACAUGACUCAGAAAUACAAGGAAGCUUUCCUUGGCAACAGGAAUCUUACAGUUGAUAUUGAGACUAUGAGGAGAAAGGUGAAUAUAGCUGAAGAAGCUGUCAGGAGAGUAACUGGGGCAAGCUUGAUGUUCUCCACUACGUCAAACAGGGCGCCCUUGGCUUCAUGUGUAUCUGUUGCAGCUUCUGCUGAUGCUGCUCCCGCAGAGGAAAGCAUGAGCCAUUUCCUCCAGGGUUUACUUGAAGACGAUAUGAUCAAACAUGACCUCUCAGAGGUAGCAACCCCUUUGCCCAAUGGGGAAGAGAUGACCUCAAGGCCGGCCCCUUUGCGACGCGUCGCGAGCCUGGAGAACCUGCAGAAGAGGAUCCAUAGAGAUUCAGUGCACUCUGAGGACACGUCGAUUUUCUCGGACCAUGAAGUCCCUGCCAAUGCUCAGUAACUGGAUUGUGUAAUUCUCCAGUGGGCUAAGUUUUGUCGUAAAGUAUGGAGGCUGUGGCGUCCGUGUAUAUCUGGAUGCUGAACUUUGUGUAUACUAUUUUGAAGGUAAAUAACCUGCACUUCAGUCUUCUGAUCCUGCUGCUUCUUCGCGCUUCUCAGCCUUGUGAAUAUCGUGCACAGGCAGAUAACUGUACUGCACAUGUCAGUGAUGAGCAGAACCGUGUUUUCCAUUUGGUGAACCUUGUGAUGGUACUGAGGAAUUGUGCCUAAAUUUUGAAAGGGCUGUUGAACUCUCUCACUGAACUCAUUAUAUAUGGGGAACUAUUUG